rnacentral:rRNA from 1 species
UUAAGCGACUAAGCGUACACGGUGGAUGCCCUGGCAGUCAGAGGCGAUGAAGGACGUGCUAAUCUGCGAAAAGCGUCGGUAAGGUGAUAUGAACCGUUAUAACCGGCGAUGUCCGAAUGGGGAAACCCAGUGCAAUUCGUUGCACUAUCGUUAACUGAAUACAUAGGUUAACGAGGCGAACCGGGGGAACUGAAACAUCUAAGUACCCCGAGGAAAAGAAAUCAACCGAGAUUCCCCCAGUAGCGGCGAGCGAACGGGGAGCAGCCCAGAGUCUGAAUCAGCUUGUGUGUUAGUGGAACGGUCUGGAAAGUCCGACGGUACAGGGUGAUAGUCCCGUACACCAAAAUGCACAGGCUGUGAACUCGAAGAGUAGGGCGGGACACGUGGUAUCCUGUCUGAAUAUGGGGGGACCAUCCUCCAAGGCUAAAUACUCCUGACUGACCGAUAGUGAACCAGUACCGUGAGGGAAAGGCGAAAAGAACCCCGGCGAGGGGAGUGAAAAAGAACCUGAAACCGUGUACGUACAAGCAGUGGGAGCACCUUCGGGUGUGACUGCGUACCUUUUGUAUAAUGGGUCAGCGACUUAUAUUCUGUAGCAAGGUUAACCGUAUAGGGGAGCCGCAGGGAAACCGAGUCUUAACUGGGCGUUAAGUUGCAGGGUAUAGACCCGAAACCCGGUGAUCUAGCCAUGGGCAGGUUGAAGGUUGGGUAACACUAACUGGAGGACCGAACCGACUAAUGUUGAAAAAUUAGCGGAUGACUUGUGGCUGGGGGUGAAAGGCCAAUCAAACCGGGAGAUAGCUGGUUCUCCCCGAAAGCUAUUUAGGUAGCGCCUCGUGAACUCAUCUUCGGGGGUAGAGCACUGUUUCGGCUAGGGGGUCAUCCCGACUUACCAACCCGAUGCAAACUACGAAUACCGAAGAAUGUUAUCACGGGAGACACACGGCGGGUGCUAACGUCCGUCGUGAAGAGGGAAACAACCCAGACCGCCAGCUAAGGUCCCAAAGUCAUGGUUAAGUGGGAAACGAUGUGGGAAGGCACAGACAGCCAGGAUGUUGGCUUAGAAGCAGCCAUCAUUUAAAGAAAGCGUAAUAGCUCACUGGUCGAGUCGGCCUGCGCGGAAGAUGUAACGGGGCUAAACCAUGCACCGAAGCUGCGGCAGCGACACUAUGUGUUGUUGGGUAGGGGAGCGUUCUGUAAGCCUGCGAAGGUGACCUGUGAGGGUUGCUGGAGGUAUCAGAAGUGCGAAUGCUGACAUAAGUAACGAUAAAGCGGGUGAAAAGCCCGCUCGCCGGAAGACCAAGGGUUCCUGUCCAACGUUAAUCGGGGCAGGGUGAGUCGACCCCUAAGGCGAGGCCGAAAGGCGUAGUCGAUGGGAAACAGGUUAAUAUUCCUGUACUUGGUGUUACUGCGAAGGGGGGACGGAGAAGGCUAUGUUAGCCGGGCGACGGUUGUCCCGGUUUAAGCAUGUAGGCUGGUUGUCCAGGCAAAUCCGGAUAAUCAAGGCUGAGGUGUGAUGACGAGGCACUACGGUGCUGAAGUAACAAAUGCCCUGCUUCCAGGAAAAGCCUCUAAGCAUCAGGUAACAUUAAAUCGUACCCCAAACCGACACAGGUGGUCAGGUAGAGAAUACCAAGGCGCUUGAGAGAACUCGGGUGAAGGAACUAGGCAAAAUGGUGCCGUAACUUCGGGAGAAGGCACGCUGGUGUGUAGGUGAAGUCCCUGCGGAUGGAGCUGAGACCAGUCGAAGAUACCAGCUGGCUGCAACUGUUUAUUAAAAACACAGCACUGUGCAAACACGAAAGUGGACGUAUACGGUGUGACGCCUGCCCGGUGCCGGAAGGUUAAUUGAUGGGGUUAUCCGUAAGGAGAAGCUCUUGAUCGAAGCCCCGGUAAACGGCGGCCGUAACUAUAACGGUCCUAAGGUAGCGAAAUUCCUUGUCGGGUAAGUUCCGACCUGCACGAAUGGCGUAAUGAUGGCCAGGCUGUCUCCACCCGAGACUCAGUGAAAUUGAACUCGCUGUGAAGAUGCAGUGUACCCGCGGCAAGACGGAAAGACCCCGUGAACCUUUACUAUAGCUUGACACUGAACAUUGAGCCUUGAUGUGUAGGAUAGGUGGGAGGCUUUGAAGCGUGGACGCCAGUCUGCGUGGAGCCAACCUUGAAAUACCACCCUUUAAUGUUUGAUGUUCUAACGUUGGCCCCUUACCGGGGUUGCGGACAGUGUCUGGUGGGUAGUUUGACUGGGGCGGUCUCCUCCCAAAGCGUAACGGAGGAGCACGAAGGUUAGCUAAUCCUGGUCGGACAUCAGGAGGUUAGUGCAAUGGCAUAAGCUAGCUUGACUGCGAGCGUGACGGCGCGAGCAGGUGCGAAAGCAGGUCAUAGUGAUCCGGUGGUUCUGAAUGGAAGGGCCAUCGCUCAACGGAUAAAAGGUACUCCGGGGAUAACAGGCUGAUACCGCCCAAGAGUUCAUAUCGACGGCGGUGUUUGGCACCUCGAUGUCGGCUCAUCACAUCCUGGGGCUGAAGUAGGUCCCAAGGGUAUGGCUGUUCGCCAUUUAAAGUGGUACGCGAGCUGGGUUUAGAACGUCGUGAGACAGUUCGGUCCCUAUCUGCCGUGGGCGCUGGAGAAUUGAGGGGGGCUGCUCCUAGUACGAGAGGACCGGAGUGGACGCAUCACUGGUGUUCGGGUUGUCAUGCCAAUGGCACUGCCCGGUAGCUAAAUGCGGAAGAGAUAAGUGCUGAAAGCAUCUAAGCACGAAACUUGCCCCGAGAUGAGUUCUCCCUGAGACUUUAAGUCUCCUGAAGGAACGUUGAAGACGACGACGUUGAUAGGCCGGGUGUGUAAGCGCAGCGAUGCGUUGAGCUAACCGGUACUAAUGAACCGUGAGGCUUAACCUU